rnacentral:rRNA from 1 species
UACGGGGGGAGCAAGCGUUGUUCGGAUUUACUGGGCGUAAAGGGCGCGUAGGCGGCCACUGCAAGUCGGUUGUGAAAUCUCCGGGCUUAACCCGGAAAGGUCAGCCGAUACUGCAGGGCUAGAGUGCAGAAGGGGCAACUGGAAUUCUCGGUGUAGCGGUGAAAUGCGUAGAUAUCGAGAGGAACACCUGCGGCGAAGGCGGGUUGCUGGGCUGACACUGACGCUGACAGCGCGAAAGCUAGGGGAGCGAACGGG